rnacentral:rRNA from 1 species
GUAGGUGGCAAGCGUUGUCCGGAAUUAUUGGGCGUAAAGCGCGCGCAGGCGGUCCUUUAAGUCUGAUGUGAAAGCCCACGGCUCAACCGUGGAGGGUCAUUGGAAACUGGGGGACUUGAGUACAGAAGAGGAAAGUGGAAUUCCACGUGUAGCGGUGAAAUGCGUAGAGAUGUGGAGGAACACCAGUGGCGAAGGCGACUUUCUGGUCUGUAACUGACGCUGAGGCGCGAAAGCGUGGGGAGCAAACAGGGAUUAGAUACCCUGGUAGUCCACGCCGUAAACGAUGAGUGCUAAGUGUUAGAGGGUUUCCGCCCUUUAGUGCUGCAGCUAACGCAUUAAGCACUCCGCCUGGGGAGUACGGCCGCAAGGCUG